rnacentral:rRNA from 3 species
UACGUAGGUGGCGAGCGUUGUCCGGAUUUACUGGGCGUAAAGGAUGCGUAGGCGGAUAUUUAAGUGAGAUGUGAAAUACCCGAGCUUAACUUGGGUGCUGCAUUUCAAACUGGAUAUCUAGAGUGUGGGAGAGGAGAAUGGAAUUCCUAGUGUAGCGGUGAAAUGCGUAGAGAUUAGGAAGAACACCAGUGGCGAAGGCGAUUCUCUGGACCAUAACUGACGCUGAGGCAUGAAAGCGUGGGUAGCAAACAGG